CGGUGGAGUAUGUUGUUUAAUUCGAAGAUACACGAAGAACCUUACCAGGUCUUGACAUACCAUUGACAGGUCUAGAGAUAGACCCUCCUUCGGGCAAUGGAUACAGGUGGUGCAUGGUUGUCGUCAGCUCGUGCCGUGAGGUGUUGGGUUAAGUCCCGCAAUGAGCGCAACCCUCAUUGUUAGUUACUACCAUUCAGUUGAGGACUCUAAUGAGACUGCCAACGACAAGUUGGAGGAAGGUGGGAUGACGUCAAAUCAUCAUGCCCUUUAUGACCUGGGCUACAAACGUACUACAAUGGCCAAUACAAAGAGAUGCGAAGCGGUGACGUGGAGCGAACCUCAGAAAGUUGGUCUCAGUUCAGAUUGAAGUCUGCAACUCGACUUCAUGAAGGCGGAAUCGCUAGUAAUCGCGAGUCAGCAGAUCGCGGUGAAUACGUUCCCGGGUUUU
rnacentral:rRNA from 1 species